UAAGGAAUAUUGGACAAUGCCCGCAAGGGUGAUCCAGCCAUGCCGCGUGCAGGAAGACGGCCCUAUGGGUUGUAAACUGCUUUUACACCGGAGAAAACCUCCCCUCGUGAGGGGAGCUGAUAGUAUGGUUAGAAUAAGCAUCGGCUAACUUCGUGCCAGCAGCCGCGGUAAGACGAAGGAUGCAAGCGUUAUCCGGAUUCAUUGGGUUUAAAGGGAGCGUAGGUGGCCUUAUAAGUCAGUGGUGAAAUCUCUGGGCUUAACCCAGAAAUUGCCAUUGAUACUGUAGGGCUUGAGUACAGUGGCUGUGGGCGGAAUAUGACAUGUAGUGGUUAAAUAAAUAGAGAUGUUAUAGAACACCGCUUGCGAAGGCAGCGCGAAAAACGGUAACUGACAAUGACGCUAGAAAGUGCGGGGAUAAAACA
rnacentral:rRNA from 1 species